rnacentral:lncRNA from 1 species
CGCCCCGCCGGGUCCCUCAAGCUUUCCCUCGCGCAGCCGCUGCCAAAGCCUGGAGAAGUGGAAUCUCGUCAGCGCCGCUCCCUGCGCUGGACUCGCGGAGCGGCACUGAGCAUGCUCAGUCGCCCGAGCCCGUUCUGAUCUCAAGUAGGAAGCUAGUGCGCUGCGACCGCAGCUGAUCUGGGCGCUCCGGGGAGGGCGAGACUGGAGCAGAGCCGCUGGGCGCCGGAGCCAAGGCGAGCGCCGCGCGCACCACUGGUUGGAGUUGCUGUGGGUGAGCUGCUGCGGUUUGUAGGCAAGCAUGCUGUGGUCGGAUCUGCCCAGCCGUGGAACAGGAACAUUUGCUGGAUGGAAAAUCCAUAAAAGAAAGCUCCUGUGAAAAGCUGAGGCUGACAAUAAUUUAAGCAAAAUCAGAUCGAUCUCUUUGGGCUGCCUGACCUCCUUGGGUGAUUGCUAUUAAUUAACAGACUUUGUGGGGAAAAAAAGGAGCUUGCCUUCUGAGCUUUGUAUCGAAGACCUGGGAAAACUAACCAUCUCAGUCUUUCCUGAGGACUUGGGAACUGCUGAGGCCCCUGCCAAUGUGUUGACUGUCACUAUGGGCAGACGGUACCCGGAGGCUCACUGUCGUCCAGGCAGCUCAUGUUCUUGGACACUUGCUCAUUUAUGCAAACCUGAAAUUGUCCUUGGGAGAAGUGAACUCCGCUGACCUUCCUUUGCACAAAAGGCCACAAAAAUCAGUGCAAGAUGAAACCAAUAGAGUUCUAAAGGAAUGACUUGGCAUAUUUAUUUCAGAGUCAUGAGAUAGGUCAGUUUGUUGUUUGCCUCUGUAGCUUCUAGACCUUUCUGUUAUGAAUAUAUACUAAGGAAAAG